rnacentral:rRNA from 1 species
ACGCUAGCUACAGGCUUAACACAUGCAAGUCGAGGGGAAACGGCAUUGAGUGCUUGCACUCUUUGGACGUCGACCGGCGCACGGGUGAGUAACGCGUAUCCAACCUUCCCAUUACUGUGGGAUAACCUGCCGAAAGGCAGACUAAUACCGCAUAGUCUUCGAUGACGGCAUCAGAUUUGAAGUAAAGAUUUAUCGGUAAUGGAUGGGGAUGCGUCUGAUUAGCUUGUUGGCGGGGUAACGGCCCACCAAGGCGACGAUCAGUAGGGGUUCUGAGAGGAAGGUCCCCCACAUUGGAACUGAGACACGGUCCAAACUCCUACGGGAGGCAGCAGUGAGGAAUAUUGGUCAAUGGACGGAAGUCUGAACCAGCCAAGUAGCGUGCAGGAUGACGGCCCUAUGGGUUGUAAACUGCUUUUGUAUGGGGAUAAAGUUAGGGACGUGUCCCUAUUUGCAGGUACCAUACGAAUAAGGACCGGCUAAUUCCGUGCCAGCAGCCGCGGUAAUACGGAAGGUCCAGGCGUUAUCCGGAUUUAUUGGGUUUAAAGGGAGCGUAGGCUGGAGAUUAAGUGUGUUGUGAAAUGUAGACGCUCAACGUCUGAAUUGCAGCGCAUACUGGUUUCCUUGAGUACGCACAACGUUGGCGGAAUUCGUCGUGUAGCGGUGAAAUGCUUAGAUAUGACGAAGAACUCCGAUUGCGAAGGCAGCUGACGGGAGCGCAACUGACGCUUAAGCUCGAAGGUGCGGGUAUCAAACAGGAUUAGAUACCCUGGUAGUCCGCACAGUAAACGAUGGAUGCCCGCUGUUGGUACCUGGUAUCAGCGGCUAAGCGAAAGCAUUAAGCAUCCCACCUGGGGAGUACGCCGGCAACGGUGAAACUCAAAGGAAUUGACGGGGGCCCGCACAAGCGGAGGAACAUGUGG